AUUAUAAGUUUUUUAUAAUAUUCAAAAACAACGCAUCUUAAAUUGAAACUUGAAACAGCUGCAUAAUAUAUGGUGAAUUGAGAGAGCGUGCAUAAGUCAAGUUUAAAUACGCUUAAUCCCCUGCAACGUUUUUGAAUAUAUCAGAUAUUGGAUUUAGCUUUGUCAAUAUUAUGAUUUCUUAAAAGUUGGUAAAUUACUGUGUGUUUAGUGUUCCAAAUGAAUUAUAAAUAUAUAUGUACAUUCAUCUA